ensembl:lncRNA
GUUAAUGUCACUGUGAUUGUCAGGGGUGAGAGAGAAUGUCAUCUCUCCUACACAGAGAACAUGGCCAAUGGAGCUUGUUACUAGACCUAUGAAUUUUCGGAAAAUUCUGAAAAACACAGUGGAUUCAGCCUUCAACCUCCAUGGGUUGCAGGGAGCCUGGAGCCUAUCCCAGGGAACUCAGGUCACAAGGCGGGAGACACACUGGACGUGGGGCCAACCCAUUGCAGGGCAGAAUUGUACACACAUUCACACACUACAGACAAUUUGGCAAUGCCAACUAGCUUACAACGCAUGUGUUUGGUCUACGGAGGAAACCCCUAAAGCAGGGGGAGAUCAUACAAACUCCACGCUGGCAGAGGUAGGAUUCAAACCCCCAUCCCCAGAGGUGCGAGGUGGAAGUAAUGUGUGUGCAUGUGGAAAAGCUGCGCAUCCUGCCUGGAGCUCCAGCACCCGCUGGCCGUGCCAAAGAAAACUGUGGUCGGAAGAGAGCGCUAAUAGAGCAUGAUGCACGUCACCUGAAACUAGAAUCAUCGGCAACUGAGAAACCACAGCAAGCAGCCAUCCUCCUGCUAACGUUGGCCAGGAGCUCCUGUUCCAGUUCCAGCCCCCUGAUCUCCCUACACCAUUAGCUUAGCUCAGCUUCCAAUCGCGUGCCUGCUUCCCC